rnacentral:misc_RNA from 1 species
GAUGAAGAACGCAGCGAAAUGCGAUAAGUAAUGUGAAUUGCAGAAUUCAGUGAAUCAUCGAAUCUUUGAACGCACAUUGCGCCCGCCAGUAUUCUGGCGGGCAUGCCUGUUCGAGCGUCAUUACAACCCUCAGGCCCCCGGGCCUGGCGUUGGGGAUCGGCGGAGCCCCCCGUGGGCACAAGCCGUCCCCCAAAUGCAGUGGCGGUCCCGCCGCAGCUUCCAUCGCGUAGUAGCUAACACCUCGCGACUGGAGAGCGGCGCGGCCACGCCGUAAAACACCCAACUCUUCUGAAGUUGACCUCGAAUCAGGUAGGAAUACCCGCUGAACUUAAGCAUAUCAAUAAGCGGAGGA